UCGGAAUAGCCUUGCUUUUUCAAGCAAAGCACAAGUCGAACACUUUUACACCCCACCCGAAACACUUAAAAUGGUGAUCAAAGCGAAUACAAUUACCGAACGCACCGUUCCCAAUUGAAUGAUCAAUAAUACAAAAUGCAAUUUAAGCCGUAAAAAUAUACAAAAUCCGAAGCCUUUCCGAAUAUGCCUUGACCAUAUAUAUCCAGUCCAUAAUAAUUUUAUCUGGCAUGAAUAUGAUAAGACUCGAAGACUUAACGAAACCCAGCAUUGACCAAAUGAACUUGCAUUAAGAACACGCUCUUCAGUUUAUAAAAUGAAGCAAACAAUUUUAGAUUGAGUAUAGGGAAUGUGCGAAGGAUUUGCCAGGCCAGAGAGAAGACCCUGAGAUAAGUUCGAGAUACUCUCAAGAUCAACUUGUGCAGUAUAUGCAUACAUAUAUGUAUAAAAAUAUAUAUGUUCUAUUGUUUAGAUAAUCAAUAGAUAUAUAAAUUAUAAUGCAUAUAUGUAUGCAUAACUGCACAAAUCCAAACUAGCUUAGAUAAUCUAAUAGUUCUUGAUUUAUUAAGAUCAUUUUUGUGAUUUUCCCCAAGUAUAUUUUAUCUUUUUACCAAUUGUUUUUAGCCAUGUUAGUUGUACUUCUAGGUAUUUUUACCCCAUAUGCAGCUCCAAAAACUCCUGGCUAGAGCUUGGGCUAGUUUUCAGUUAUAUGAAAGUAGGCUUCGUUAUUUUUUAUUGAAAUUAACUAGAAUUUUAGCAACAAUAGCUUCAGAGUGUGUUAAGUUACGCGUUCUGUUAAACAAUAAUAAAAUAAAUAUAUUUAAUAUAUAAAAAAAACAAAAAAAAAAAAACAUAAAACC